UGCACGACUUGGAUAUAACUGUGAAACUCGACAUGUGCCCAGUGUACUGUAUGGAUACUACUGUACACUGCACAGUUAUAUUGGUUCACUUUCACUGUUUGAUUCAACAAGUUGUUUGCAUUCUUUUACACUAUGGAGGAGCACUUUAACGCAUCAGGCUCGUCAAAGCCUUUCAACGUACAUCUUAUGGUCUAUUGCGUGCAUGCUUAUGCGCGCGUGCAGAUCAACUGGAAAAAGUCCGCCAGGGUCGCCGCAAAUUUUUUUCCACUGGAACUAAAGUUUCGGGGUUGCUACAAGCAACGAGGGCUCGAGUGAAAAAAGUUGGCCUGGACCUCUCAAAAAAUUUUUCCACCUUAUCAACGAAUGGAAAAUCAUCGCCGUACAACCUUGAAGCCGGACUCGCAUGGCCGGAAAUAUUUCAGUUUCCGGUAAUAGUGAUCCAAUAACGCGAGAGCGUCACUGAUGGACUUUGCACCAUUAACUGUGAUCUUGCCGUUGCGGUACACCUGGCAGUGCGAUUUGUGAGGACGAAUGGAACGGAGAAGAAGCCCGGAAAAUUUAUGUGGUGCAUAAUGAGAAAGCGGAGCGCGUUCGAGUCCGCGAGUGUUUGGCGUAAAAUAUUUCAACACCGGUGGAAACCCAGAGCAAGAAGAAUUAGGUUCAGCUGAAUUAACUGCGUUCUCAACUCAUUCAAAAAUCAAGGAAAACAACGAGUUAGCGCAGCGAAUGGGAGAUAUAAAAACCUACGAAGCAAAGUAGAAAAGCGUAAGGGCUAGAACCAGGGUGACACCUGCAGCCGUUUGCGGUACUGGUUGGUGCUGUACAGCAAAGUGCCUUACUGACUGCAUUCACUGUUUUUUUUUCAAAGUAAUCGGAGUUUCCUUUAUGAACAUCUUCUAAGAUUGCAGUGUGUCCACAAGCGCACGUAUAAGAAACAGCAAGGACUGCCUGGUUGCGUUAGGUGGCUGAUGGCUCAGCUUCUUCUUCGGGAAUUCUGUUUUCACGCAUCAAACCUCUAUGACAGAUCGUAGGACCCCUGCCAGCGACCGUCGGGUUUGCAACACAGCUGGACGACAAGUCAAAGUUCCAUUUUUUGUAAAAAAAUGGCAUCAGUAAAGAACCGUUCUAGAAUAAUUAUUUUAAAAAGGUUGGCGUAGUCGGCCGGAGGGCGGACUGCCUCAGCUCAACAACACUUUCACGUCAUGCAGAUAACCAGCUGGUUUCGUUACCUAGAAUCGGGCCAAUCGGCUCGUAAUUUGUUAACAUUGAAUAUUGUCCAAACAAGUAUCUCGAUCUCAUGGAAAUCUCAAAGAUCAUAGGUAUCACACAGUAUUCUCUCGUAGCGGAUGGAACUGUC